CCUGACAACGCAGACGCCAGCCCGCACAAUGACUUCCAGCUGGAGCAGCCCAGCCAGCCUGCGCGCUCACUCGCUUGCUUGCGCUGGGCUUCAGGGCGCCCGGGUUUUUCUGUGGACCUAAAUUUUCAUUUCUCUGGGAUAAAUGUCCAGGAGUGUGAUUGCUGGGUCAUAUGAUCUACAGUCCCUCUUGGACAGAUUUUCCUGUGUGUAUAUGAUAUGAGGUGUCACAUGCCAUUCUUCUGAUUUUCAUGAAUAUCCUCUAAAAGGCAGCUAAGCACUCGCUGUCUUCUUCCUUUUGCCUCAUCAAGCACGGGGGACGCUGGAAGGAAGAGGACACUCAGUGAUACAGAAUUGAAAAAGAGAAAGACCAGAUUUCCCAUGGAGAUGGAGAAAUUGGAAGCCCAGAUGAGGAACCAUCUCAUAUAAGCAAGCUUAUGUGUUUUGAUUUCGUGUUCAGAUAUUCUUAUCAAUGAUUUCCAGAAAGUGACAUUGAUUUGCUUUGGAAACAAUGAUGGAAAAACAGUGAGUGUGUACCGGAAUGCUUUUAGAGUUCUAAAAUCAUACUGGAAAAUGUCCGAGCAUUCCAACACAGCUAUAAACAGUACCAUGCUGUAUUUAUGGGGGGUGGCAAGUCUGUUUUUAAAAGUCUUUGCGAUAUUUUUUCUAUGUUUUUAAUUUAUUGAAUUAAAGCCAGAUUUAUUCAAUUAAGAUAAUACACUUCAAAGUUAACUGCCAUUUGCUGUUCAUUUAGGCAAGCUAUUGUACAGUUAUGUAAAUUUCAUGAACAGAGACACUACUUGAGUGUCUUAAUUACAAGCAGAAAGUGUCAUUUAAAUAUGAAUUAAGUGAAUAGUUGCCUGUAUUUCCUGUUUCUGUAUUUUCUGUCUUCUGCCCAAUGAUCCAUACUGUGUUAGAAGAUUUUUCUUUUUCCUGUGAAAGAAAAACACCUCCACUAUGAAAUAUUAAAAAAAAAAAAGUCGGGAAACAUGUAAAAACGCCAUUGUUAUUGCACUGAUUAGUACUCAGAGCCAUUUCUGAAUAACAGGGUACCAGGUUUUUUCAGUUGGCCACUGAUAGUCAUUCUCAUAUUGUUACUGAGAUCUAAAAAUUAUUCCAGCUUAUGCUGGGGGAA
rnacentral:lncRNA from 1 species